rnacentral:misc_RNA from 1 species
AAGUCGUAACAAGGUUUCCGUAGGUGAACCUGCGGAAGGAUCAUUAUUGAAAUAAACCUGAUGGGUUGUUGCUGGUUCUCUAGGGAGCAUGUGCACGCUUGUCAUCUUUAUAUCUCCACCUGCGCACCUUUUGUAGAUCUGGAUAUCUUUCUGAAUGCCUGGCAUUCAGGUUUGGGGAUUGACUUUGCUCUUUCCUUACAUUUCCAGACCUAUGUUUUCUUCAUAUACACCAUGUAUGUUAUAGAGUGUAAUAGUAAGGCCUUUGUGCCUACAAACCUAUACAA